rnacentral:rRNA from 1 species
AUGACAAGUUUCAAACUAGUAAAGUAUAUCCCUAGGAUAAAGAAGAAGAAAAGUGGGCUAAGGAAACUCGCAAGGAAAGUUCCAACCGAUCGUCUACUUAAGUUCGAGAGAGUUUUCAAAGCACAAAAACGUAUCCCUAUGUCUGUUUUCAAAGCACAAAGAGUUCUUGACGAGAUUCGCUGGCGUUACUACGAGGAAACUUGUCAUAAAUAA